UUUAACAUUGCAUAUGCCUAACAUUAUGUGAUAAUACUAAUCACACUCAUAUUGCCUUUCUCUUUCAGUUUAUGAAGAAAUGGCGCCCAGGAAGGUAGGACGGAAGCGGAAGGCCCUGCAGGUGUCAAAAGGUGGACCAUCUGCAAAGAUCCCAAUUUUCCACCAGUCACCACUGGUUGGUGGAGCCUCCGCCCCAGCCCCAACCCCAUCUAGCCCUGCUGCUCCAUCCACCCCUCCUGCUCCAUC